UGGGGAAUAUUGGGCAAUGGGGGAAACCCUGACCCAGCAACGCCGCGUGAAGGAAGAAGGCCUUCGGGUUGUAAACUUCUUUUAGUAGGGACGAAGAACGUGACGGUACCUACAGAAAAAGCAACGGCUAACUACGUGCCAGCAGCCGCGGUAAUACGUAGGUUGCAAGCGUUGUCCGGAUUUACUGGGUGUAAAGGGCGUGUAGGCGGAGAUGCAAGUUGGGAGUGAAAUACCGGGGCUCAACCCCGGAACUGCUUUCAAAACUGUAUCCCUUGAGUGUAGGAGAGGAAAGCGGAAUUCCUAGUGUAGCGGUGAAAUGCGUAGAUAUGAGGAGGAACACCAGUGGCGAAGGCGGCUUGCUGGGCCUUAACUGACGCUGAGGCACGAAAGCGUGGGUAGCAAACAGG
rnacentral:rRNA from 2 species